CGAGCGAGCUUGCCUAGAUGAUUUUAGUGCUUGCACUAAAUGAAACUAGAUACAAGCGAGCGGCGGACGGGUGAGUAACACGUGGGUAACCUGCCCAAGAGACUGGGAUAACACCUGGAAACAGAUGCUAAUACCGGAUAACAACACUAGACGCAUGUCUAGAGUUUGAAAGAUGGUUCUGCUAUCACUCUUGGAUGGACCUGCGGUGCAUUAGCUAGUUGGUAAGGUAACGGCUUACCAAGGCAAUGAUGCAUAGCCGAGUUGAGAGACUGAUCGGCCACAUUGGGACUGAGACACGGCCCAAACUCCUACGGGAGGCAGCAGUAGGGAAUCUUCCACAAUGGACGAAAGUCUGAUGGAGCAACGCCGCGUGAGUGAAGAAGGGUUUCGGCUCGUAAAGCUCUGUUGGUAGUGAAGAAAGAUAGAGGUAGUAACUGGCCUUUAUUUGACGGUAAUUACUUAGAAAGUCACGGCUAACUACGUGCCAGCAGCCGCGGUAAUACGUAGGUGGCAAGCGUUGUCCGGAUUUAUUGGGCGUAAAGCGAGUGCAGGCGGUUCAAUAAGUCUGAUGUGAAAGCCUUCGGCUCAACCGGAGAAUUGCAUCAGAAACUGUUGAACUUGAGUGCAGAAGAGGAGAGUGGAACUCCAUGUGUAGCGGUGGAAUGCGUAGAUAUAUGGAAGAACACCAGUGGCGAAGGCGGCUCUCUGGUCUGCAACUGACGCUGAGGCUCGAAAGCAUGGGUAGCG
rnacentral:rRNA from 1 species